rnacentral:rRNA from 1 species
UACGUAGGGGGCAAGCGUUGUCCGGAAUUAUUGGGCGUAAAGAGCGCGUAGGCGGUCCGAUAAGUCGGCUGUGAAAGUCAGGGGCUCAACCCUUGAAAGCCGGCCGAUACUGUCGGACUAGAGUCCGGAAGAGGCGAGUGGAAUUCCCCGGUGUAGCGGUGAAAUGCGCAGAUAUCGGGAGGAACACCAAUGGCGAAGGCAGCUCGCUGGGACGGUACUGACGCUGAGGCGCGAAAGCGUGGGGAGCAAACAGG